GUCACUGAACCAGUGAGCUCCUCCCUAGCCUUUUUCGAUAUUUUAUUUAGAGACAGGGUCUCACCAUACUUAGAGCCUCACUAAAUUGCUGAGGCUGGCUUUGAACUCAUGACCCUCCUGCCUCCUCCUCCCAAGCUUCAGGGAUGACAGGUGUUUGCCAUCCUGCCAGCUCCUUUUCACCUUUGAAUUAGCAUCGGAAUAAUACAGGGUCAUGCUAACAACUGAAUAAGGAGAGCACGCUCAUCAAGAAAAAUCAGACUCCUGCUCUCCUUCCCUCUUCACCCCAGAGGCAAAGGUCUCCCACAUCUCCUCGUGUACCCUCUUCCUGAUGCUUUCUUCCGUAACUCUAGACAAGGUGCUCAUGUAUCUAUUUCUUGAUUUAUAACUUUAGACCAAUAUCCAUGGAUUUUUCUGUCAGAUUCAUGAGACUUUAGCUUACUUCCACUCCUAACCUUUCAACUUUGAAAUUUAUAGCACACCUGACACCUCUCUGCUGAUUACCUAUAUUUAAAUGUCUUUCUCUGGUUCAACUUUAAGACACAUUUCUUUUCAGCCCCACCCAUGAUGGGACACAGAUAUCCCCACAUCUCAUUUUUUGCAUUGUAUUAUUGGCAUUCACCUUAUGUCUGCUCCACAAUCAAGUCUUCACAGCUUCGACUCUUGCCCGCAUCCCCCUGCCCCCCCACCACAGGCGAUGAAAACGGGGGUUCCCCUCAGUGGAAUGGGCUGGCUGAGAAAUAAAAGCUAAGAAAAAUAGAACGACAGAGAAACCACAGGACACAGAAAAUAUUUUCAGAAAGUGGGGAGGGGACAGGCUAGCCCAUCAUAUGGAUAGAGCUUCUAUACUAAAAAGCAAAAUGGAGUCUGCCCUUGCUUUAUAUCGGGGAACAUCAGAGGCCUUCCACAGAAUAUUCAUCACCAAAAAGUGUUACAGGUGGGCUGUCCAGUUCCCAAAGGUUACGCCCAUCUCUGGAGCUACUGUGAGGGAUCUUCCUAGUAGGGUGGGGAGAAAGGUCAUGUGCUUUGGGCCAUCUAAAGUGUGGGAGAGCCACAGAUAGUUCCCAAUGGUAAAGCUAAAAUCUCCCUGGCUGCCACACAGAGAGAAGAUCCUGGCUUCCCACAUUUGACCACAGGUUGAUUCAAAAGAUGAAAAGCCAGGCAAAAGCACUUAUUUGAUAAGGCUGAGACUUUGAAGCACCGUUCCCUGUAAAUUCCCUUUUAAGCAAAGCUAAUUUGAUUUGGAUUUGUUGGGUAUGGCCAAGUUGUCCCAACUUUCACACCCAAGUUUUGUUGAAUUGGAUGUAUCCACAAGCCUUCAAAUGCAAGCUGGGACAGAGCUCCCAAGGGCCAGCUUCAUGGCCCAAGACCUUCAUUGUCACACACAGCCCUGGGUUCAGAAGGAUGUUGUGCUUGGUUUAAUAGGCUGUCACCGUCUUGAAAUUCUUAAUGAUUCAAAUUAUACUCUACUGUUAUGUAUAUCUAAAAAUAACAAUUAUAAAAUCCUUGAUUUUUUUUUCCCUUUUGGUACUAGGGAUUGAACUCAGGGGCACUCGACCACUGAGCCACAUCCCCAGCUUUAUUUAGAGACAGGGUCUCACUGAGUUGCUUAGCACCUCACUUUUGCUGAGGCUGGCUUUGAACUUGCGCUCCUCCUGCCUCGGCCUCCUGAGCAGCUGAGAUUACAGGUGGGUGCCACCGCUCCCAGCUCUUAAUGAUUUUUAGCAAGAGGGCCCACAAAUGAAGUAGCUAUCCCGAAUUCCCCCAUCUUGCUGGAAGAGGCCUGAAUCUUCUAACAAACAUUCUCUCUCCUUGGGCACCUGCCAGGCACUUAGAGGAAAGGCAGGGCCCUUAAGCAGGUCCCAAGGCAGCCAUGAAAAACUCAAGUGAGGGGUGCAGGCCCGAGUGGUAACUGUGUGAAUGUAGCUCACAGGUGAGGUCAGGCUGGGCUUCUCCCAGCUUCUUGCUACGGAGGGGCAACUGACCUUGGAGAAUCUUGCCUAAUUCUAGUGUGAGGGAGGUGAGAUUAUCUCCACCCUACAGAUAUGGAAAUAUCAGCUAAAAGACAUGCUCAAGCCCUGUCUUAUCAACGGCAGGUCCUCCAUUCAAGCCUGGACCCACCAUGUUUCCUCCAGACCAGUGCUACCCAUCAUGCAGCAGAACUGUGGCUGAGUUCUAGACCUGCUCCCAAUUUGCUGUGUGCCCUUCAGUGAGGAACUUGCCCUCUCUUGACUCCUUCCCUCAAUGAGUCCUCUGAAGGAGAAGAUAAGUUUUUUAAAGUUCCUUUCAAAGAGAAUCACUAUAUAACCCAAUAGCAGAGGAGGGGAGUCUUUUUUUUUUUUAAUGUAUGAAUUCCAACUGAUCAAUGCAAAAUGAAUGAAAUAUAAUUCCAUUUUUCAAUCUUUAAAGAAUUAAUUGCUUGGGGCUGGGGCUAUAGCUCAGUUGGUAGAGUGCUUGCCUCGCAUGCACAAGGCUCUGGGUUCAAUCCCCAGCACCCCCCCCCCCCAAAAAAAAAAUUGCUUAAAGUUUUAUUGGUUGCUAACAUCAGAAGAGAAGAGAAUCAGACACCGGAUGCCUCUUGAUAGAGCAAGGUGCUGCCUAAUAACACGGUCUUGCCAGAACAGAGAACACAAAUGUGAAUCUGGUCAAGCCUUACUGUGAUCACCAAUUUACAAGAAGCGCAGAGGAUAGAGGAACCUACUGAAUUACACCAGAGCGCCGCAACCAACAAAAUCCAGACGGAGCCAAAGGCCGCAGGACGAACCACUAAUUUCUUCCAAUAAAUAAAUAGCCAGCAAAAAUACAACCACCACCCAAAACCCUCUACACCUAAAGAGACUCAAAGACAUGCUCACCAAUGGCAAGGUUUAGCCCUUAUUUGGAUCCAAAUUUAAACAGACUGUCAAAAAGCAAUUAUGUGAUGAUCAGAAAGCUGAACACUGACCAAUUCUUGGAUAAUAUGAGGAACUAUUAGAUUUCUUGUGUGUGAUAAUG
rnacentral:lncRNA from 1 species